GGGCUUUCGGGCGCUGCUCUGCCUCGCAAUAUGUGGACCCCAUGGAUGGAACGUGCUUAAGAAAAACCCCCCCCCCGAGUCUCCAAGAUUUCCGUAUGGGAAGAAACGACUCGAGGGAAUGCGUCCCCCCCCUCCUUCUCGAUCUCAAAUCAGGUAGGACCACCCGCUGAAUUUAAGCAUAUAAUUAAGCGGAGGAAAAGAAACUAACAAGGAUUCCCUCAGUAGCGGCGAGCGAAGCGGGAAAAGCUCAACAUGAAAACCGGUGGGGGUUUGCGCUUACCACCGGGUUGUAUAGUAAAGUGGUGUCGCCAGUGUCGGGCCGGAUAUAAAUCCCGUUUGGAAUGGGGUGUCAUAGAGGGUGAUAACCCCGUCUGUGAUCCGGUUUAUUCUGAUGCGUUACGGUGACCUUACAAAGAGUCGGGUUGCUUGGGCAUGCAGCCCAAAGUGGGUGGUAAACUUCAUCUAAAGCUAAAUAUCAGCGAGAGACCGAUAGCGUACAAGUACCGUAAGGGAAAGAUGCAAAGAACUUUGAAAAGAGAGUCAAACAGGGCUUGAAACCGUUAAGAGUGAAGCGAAGGAGGUCAGUGAUCAUGGGGCCAGAUCCCCAGGCGUCCCUCCUCCCCACUUUUUUUGUGGGGGUUGUGGGCGGUGUAACGUUCUGGUUCUCGGGGCAGCGCCGGCUGGGGGCAUGUGUCAAAGGGGAGGAGGUUGAGGGAUUUGCUUCCCGCCUUACUCUACUCCCCUAUAGCUUGCACCCUGGUCGAGGGAAUCCCCGCGCACUUUUUCGCCGGGUGAGGGCGUUGCCAAAAUGACCUUUUCCACCCCGUCUUGAAACACGGACCAAGGAGUCUAACAUACUCGCGAGUGUUUGGGUGGUAAAAACCCCAGCGCACAAUGAAAGUAAAUCAGUAGCUCUGCGCUACUGCUUCCGGUGGGAAGCCUAACGAUGUACAGGGCAGCACCAUCACCCGAGCCCAAUCCCCUUGGGGUGGUUGGCUUUGAGGCAGAGCGAGUAUGAUGGGACCCGAAAGAUGGUGAACUAUUCCUGAGUAGGGCGAAGCCAGAGGAAACUCUGGUGGAGGCUCGUAGCGAUGCUGACGUGCAAAUCGCUCGUCGAACUUGGGUAUAGGGGCGAAAGACUAAUCGAACCAUCUAGUAGCUGGUUCCCUCCGAAGUUUCCCUCAGGAUAGCGGGAGCACACUCCAGUCAGUUUCAUCCGGUAAAGCGAAUGAUUAGAGGUUUCGGGGAAGUAACUUCUUCGACCUAUUCUCAAACUUUAAAUAGGUGAGUCGACGGCAUAGUUGCUUCAAACAAUGAACGCCGUACAGACAAUGAGUGCUCUCAGUGGGCCGAUUUUGGUAAGCAGAACUGGCGAUGCGGGAUGAACCGAAAGCGAAGCUAAGGUGCCAAACUCCCGGCUCAUUCCGACACCAGAAAAGGUGUUGAUUCAUACAGACAGCAGGACGGUGGCCAUGGAAGUCGGAACCCGCUAAGGAGUGUGUAACAACUCACCUGCCGAAUGGAUCAGCCCUGAAAAUGGAUGGCGCUUAAGCAGGGGACCGAGGCUUCGCCGUUGGGGUAAAUACGAUGCCCUGAUGAGUAGGAGGGCGUGGGGGUUUUGAACUACGGAACAUUCGCACGGAAGCCUUGGGCGUGAGCCCGGGUGGAGCGGCCCCUAGUGUAGAUCUUGGUGGUAGUAGCAAAUAUUCAAGUGAGAACCUUGAAGACUGAAGUGGGGAAGGGUUCCACGCGAACAGUGCUUGGACGUGGGUUAGUCGGUCCUAAGAGAUGGGGAAACUCCGUAUUCAAGUGCGCUCUUUUUUGCAGCGCAGUCCAUCGAAAGGGAAGCGGGUUAACAUUCCCGCACCGGGAUGUGGAAACUGUGGUUACCGCAAACUGCGGCAACGCAACUGAACUUGGGGACGCCCGUAGGAGCUCCGAGCAGGGAUCUCUGUCCUGCUUAACGCGCCCAACCCCCUGGAAUCGGUUUGUCCGGAGAUAGGGGGCGAAAGGCCGGAAAAGCACCGCACGUCUUGUGGUGUUCGGAACGCUUGUAAUGGCCCUUGAAAACCCAGGGGAAGGCAGCCGUCCCUUGUGCCAUUAGAGUACGCUGGACGAGGAAUUCUCACACCUGGCCGUACCCAUAACCGCAUCAGGUCCCCAAGGUGAACAGCCUCUAGUCAAUAGAAUAAUGUAGAUAAGGGAAGUCGGCAAAAUAGAUCCGUAACUUUGGGAAAAGGAUUGGCUCUAAUGUUCGGGCUUGUUGGGACGCGCGGGCGUAGACGCCAAUGAGCGGCAGACACCUGCUUUCUUCCCCCCCCCCUUUUGGGGGGGGGGGGACGGUGGAUAGACGCUGCUUGUGGGAAUAAACCGUGUCGAUGGGGGGCAGGACUUGGCUCACGCCUUGCCUUGCCCCCUUUCCUGCUUGCGAUCAACGAACGGAUUAGAACUGGUACGGACAAGGGGAAUCCGACUGUUUAAUUAAAACAAAGCAUUGCGA
rnacentral:rRNA from 1 species